GAAGGGGGCUAGCGUUGUUCGGAAUUACUGGGCGUAAAGCGCACGUAGGCGGAUAUUUAAGUCAGGGGUGAAAUCCCGGGGCUCAACCCCGGAACUGCCUUUGAUACUGGGUAUCUCGAGUCCGAGAGAGGUGAGUGGAAUUCCGAGUGUAGAGGUGAAAUUCGUAGAUAUUCGGAGGAACACCAGUGGCGAAGGCGGCUCACUGGCUCGGUACUGACGCCGAGGUGCGAAAGCGUGGGGAGCAAACAGGAUUAGAUACCCUGGUAGUCCACGCUGUAAACGAUGGAAGCUAGCCGUUGGCAAGUUUACUUGUCGGUGGCGCASSUAACGCAUUAAGCUUCCCGCCUGGGGAGUACGGUCGCAAGAUUA
rnacentral:rRNA from 1 species